rfam:Trichobilharzia regenti genome assembly, scaffold: TRE_scaffold0002384
AUCCAGUUGAUGAGUCCCAAUUAGGACGAAAUACGCAUUCUGGAU